rnacentral:rRNA from 1 species
UACGUAGGGUGCGAGCGUUAAUCGGAAUUACUGGGCGUAAAGCGGGCGCAGGCGGCUUUGCAAGACAGAUGUGAAAUCCCCGGGCUCAACCUGGGAACUGCAUUUGUGACUGCAAGGCUAGAGUACGGCAGAGGGGGAUGGAAUUCCGCGUGUAGCAGUGAAAUGCGUAGAUAUGCGGAGGAACACCAAUGGCGAAGGCAAUCCCCUGGGCCUGUACUGACGCUCAUGCACGAAAGCGUGGGGAGCAAACAGG